GACGAACGCUGGCGGCGUGCCUAAUACAUGCAAGUAGAACGCUGAAGGAGGAGCUUGCUUCUCUGGAUGAGUUGCGAACGGGUGAGUAACGCGUAGGUAACCUGCCUGGUAGCGGGGGAUAACUAUUGGAAACGAUAGCUAAUACCGCAUAAGAGUAGAUGUUGCAUGACAUUUGCUUAAAAGGUGCAAUUGCAUCACUACCAGAAGGACCUGCGUUGUAUUAGCUAGUUGGUGGGGUAACGGCUCACCAAGGCGACGAUACAUAGCCGACCUGAGAGGGUGAUCGGCCACACUGGGACUGAGACACGGCCCAGACUCCUACGGGAGGCAGCAGUAGGGAAUCUUCGGCAAUGGACGGAAGUCUGACCGAGCAACGCCGCGUGAGUGAAGAAGGUUUUCGGAUCGUAAAGCUCUGUUGUAAGAGAAGAACGAGUGUGAGAGUGGAAAGUUCACACUGUGACGGUAUCUUACCAGAAAGGGACGGCUAACUACGUG
rnacentral:rRNA from 1 species